rnacentral:rRNA from 1 species
GUGCAGCAGGCGAGAAACCUUCGCAAUGCGGGAAACCGCGACGAGGGGACUCCCAGUGCCUACGCUCAGCGUAGGCUGUUCCCGAGCCUAGAAAGCUCGGGGAGUAAGGGCUGGGUAAGACGGGUGCCAGCCGCCGCGGUAAUACCCGCAGCCCGAGUGGUGGCCACUAUUAUUGGGCCUAAAGCGUCCGUAGCCGGCCCGGUAAAUGCCUGGGUAAAUCGUGAGGCCUAACCUCACGAAUUCCGGGUAGACUGCCGGGCUAGGGACCGGAGGAGGGAGAGGAUACUCCAGGGGUAGGGGUGAAAUCCUGUAAUCCCUGGAGGACCACCGGUGGCGAAGGCGCUCUCCUAGGACGGGUCCGACGGUGAGGGACGAAAGCCAGGGGAGCGAACCGGGUUAGAUACCCGUGUAGU